CGGCUUGCAAAGCCAGUCCGGCCGCCCCAUCUUGGGUUUGCUGGCUUGCCAGCUAUGGUGAUAAACGGUACGUGGAAUAAACGUUGUGGACCCGGGGGCAGUGCCCGGCGCCUCCACCAUACGGGGGCGAAACAGGCUCGACACGCGUGGUAAAGACGAAUCUUUUGCCCGGCAUGGUUCCGCCGUUAUCGGGCCGUAUGACAAAUGCCAAUGACAACCAUGAGGCAUUCGCCGUCGCUGCGUAAGCAGGGAUAGCGCGGUUUGAGGGGGCACCGGGCAACAGAAGCCCCCUCACU
rnacentral:tmRNA from 1 species